rnacentral:tRNA from 1 species
GCGGCCAUGGUCCAGCCUACAGAUGGCUGAAGGUCUAAGACACGAGCCUUCCAAGCUCGGAACGCGGGUUCAAAUCCCGCUGGCCGCA